rnacentral:rRNA from 1 species
UUCUACGGCCAUGCCACCCUGAACAUGCCCAUCUGAUCUCGGAAGCUAAGCAGGGUCGGGCCUGGUUAGUACUUGAAUGGGAGACCACCUAGGAAGACCAGAUGCUGUAGGCA